rnacentral:tRNA from 2 species
GGAGAGGUGCCAGAGCGGCCGAAUGGGGCGCCCUGCUAAGGCGUUGACCACGCGAGUGGUCCGUGGGUUCAAAUCCCACCCUCUCCGCAA